CAAUAGCGUAUAUUAAAGUUGUUGCAGUUAAAAAGCUCGUAGUUGGAUUUCGGGGUGGCCUGGCUGGUCCGCCGCAAGGUGAGUACUGGUCAGCCGCCCUUCCUCUCGAAAGCCCCGACUGCUCUUUACUGCAGCGGUCGGGUAGUUCGGGACGUUUACUUUGAAAAAAUUAGAGUGUUCAAGGCAGGCUAUCGCCUGAAUACAUUAGCAUGGAAUAAUGGAAGAGGACCUCGGUCCUAUUUUGUUGGUUUCUAGGGCCGAAGUAAUGAUUAAGAGGGACAGUUGGGGGCAUUCGUAUUUAAUUGUCAGAGGUGAAAUUCUUGGAUUUAUGAAAGACGAACUAGUGCGAAAGCAUUUGCCAAGGAUGUUUUCAUUAA
rnacentral:rRNA from 1 species